rnacentral:rRNA from 1 species
UGGGGAAUAUUGGACAAUGGGGGAAACCCUGAUCCAGCAAUGCCGCGUGAGUGAAGAAGGCCUUAGGGUUGUAAAGCUCUUUCGCCCGCGAAGAUAAUGACGGUAGCGGGAGAAGAAGCCCCGGCUAACUCCGUGCCAGCAGCCGCGGUAAUACGGAGGGGGCUAGCGUUGUUCGGAAUUACUGGGCGUAAAGCGUACGUAGGCGGAUGCGCAAGUUGGGGGUGAAAUCCCGGGGCUUAACCUCGGAAUUGCCCUCAAAACUGCACGUCUUGAGACCGAGAGAGGUCAGGGGAAUUCCGAGUGUAGAGGUGAAAUUCGUAGAUAUUAGGAAGAACACCAGUGGCGAAGGCGCCUUACUGGCUCGGUACUGACGCUGAGGUACGAAAGCGUGGGGAGCAAACA